CAAAGGGAGCAAUCCCGGCCAUGGAUGGGCAUGCGGCGCAUUAGCUAGUCGGCGGGGUAACGGCCCACCGAGGCGACGAUGCGUAGGGGUUCUGAGAGGAAGGCCCCCCACACUGGUACUGAGACACGGACCAGACUCCUACGGGAGGCAGCAGUGAGGAAUAUUGGUCAAUGGGCGCGAGCCUGAACCGGCCAAGUCGCGUGAGGGAGGACGGCCCUACGGGUUGUAAACCUCUUUUGCCGGGGAGCAACGGGCGUCACGUGUGGCGCCACUGAGAGUACCCGGAGAAAAAGCAUCGGCUAACUCCGUGCCAGCAGCCGCGGUAAUACGGAGGAUGCGAGCGUUAUCCGGAUUUAUUGGGUUUAAAGGGUGCGUAGGCGGAUCGUUAAGUCAGUGGUCAAAUUGAGGGGCUCAACCCCUUCCCGCCAUUGAAACUGGCGAUCUUGAGUGGAAGAGAAGUAUGCGGAAUGCGUGGUGUAGCGGUGAAAUGCAUAGAUAUCACGCAGAACCCCGAUUGCGAAGGCAGCAUGCCGGCUUCCGACUGACGCUGAAGCACGAAAGCGUGGGGAUCGAACAGGAUUAGAUACCCUGGUAGUCCACGCGGUAAACGAUG
rnacentral:rRNA from 1 species